CGCCAAAGUGGUCGGUGGCGCCAAGACGCACUGUGGAAGUUAAGAGAAAGCAAGAGAACUUUAAACAACAACAACAAAAACUCCAUCGGACCCAGCAGGAAGCCUUCAGCCAGCGCGUCCGUUAACGAUCGCCAGCCGCUGGCGGGGUCUGGACGCCACGUGACCGCGCCACGUGACGCGGAGCCGCCCCUGGGGCUUGCUUGUAUUUGAAUAAGAAGAUCAAGCUUCCCGUGGCAGCCUGAGCCUGCGGAGCGCGGCGCUGCAACGUGAUCCCCGGGGCGGGUUACACAACGCCGAGGAGCUGGGCUCGGCCCGGCCGCCGCUCGGCGCCCAACCGCGGCUUGCUGCCGCCCGGGGAGUUGUUUUCUAAGGAUCGUCAAACAAACAGGGUUUUAUGCGUUCCAGAGUGAGCCGUCCAUGUUCCCUUUGGAAAAAUGUCUGGUGAUCCUGGAGGAAGAUUGAGGCCCAGUUUCUCCAAACCCAUGGGAGUGCGUGGAGCUUAGUAUGGCUGAGAACGAGGAAGAAAAACAGUCUCCCUUUCAAAACAAAGAUUCCGGAUUGAUUUUUU